AUUGAACGCUGGCGGCAGGCCUAACACAUGCAAGUCGAACGGUAACACGAUGAAUCUUUCUUCUUUGCUGACGAGUGUCGGACGGGUGUGUAAUGUCUGUGAAACUCCCUUUUUUAGUGGGUUAUCUACUGGAAACGGUAUCUAUUACCGCAUAUCCUCGCUACACCAAAGAGCGGGACCUUUUUGCCUCUUGCCCUCUUUUUUGCCCAGGUGGGAUUAGCUAGUAGGUGGGGUAACGGCUCACCUAGUCGACGAUCCGUAGCUGGUCUGAGAGGAUGACCAGCCACACUGGAACUGAGACACGGUCCAGACUCCUACGGGAGGCAGCAGUGGGGAAUAUUGGACAAUGGGCGCAAGCAUGAUGCAGCAAUGCAGCGUGUAUGAAGAAGGCCUUCGGGUUGUAAAGUACUUUAAGCGGGGAGGAAGGGAGGAAAGUUAAUACCUUGGCGGAUUGACGUUACCCGAAGAAGAAGCACCGGCUAACUACGUG
rnacentral:rRNA from 1 species